UAGUUUCCUUCCUGCCUUGUGCCCAAACCA
rnacentral:piRNA from 1 species